rnacentral:rRNA from 1 species
UCAGGAUGAACGCUAGCUACAGGCUUAACACAUGCAAGUCGAGGGGCAGCAUGGUCUUAGCUUGCUAAGGCCGAUGGCGACCGGGGCACGGGUGAGUAACACGUAUCCAACCUGCCGUCUACUCUUGGACAGCCUUCUGAAAGGAAGAUUAAUACAAGAUGGAAUCAUGAGUCCGCAUGUUCACAUGAUUAAAGGUAUUCCGGUAGACGAUGGGGAUGCGUUCCAUUAUAUAGUAGGCGGGGUAACGGCCCACCUAGUCUUCGAUGGAUAGGGGUUCUGAGAGGAAGGUCCCCCACAUUGGAACUGACACACGGUCCAAACUCCUACGGGAGGCAGCAGUGAGGAAUAUUGGUCAAUGGGCGAGAGCCUGAACCAGCCAAGUAGCGUGAAGGAUGACUGCCCUAUGGGUUGUAAACUUCUUUUAUAAAGGAAUAAAGUCGGGUAUGGAUACCCGUUUGCAUGUACUUUAUGAAUAAGGAUCGGCUAACUCCGUGCCAGCAGCCGCGGUAAUACGGAGGAUCCGAGCGUUAUCCGGAUUUAUUGGGUUUAAAGGGAGCGUAUAUGGAUGUUUAAGUCAGUUGUGAAAGUUUGCGGCUCAACCGUAAAAUUGCACUUGAUACUGGAUAUCUUGAGUGCAGUUGAGGCAGGCGGAAUUCGUGGUGUAGCGGUGAAAUGCUUAGAUAUCACGAAGAACUCCGAUUGCGAAGGCAGCCUGCUAAGCUGCAACUGACAUUGAGGCUCGAAAGUGUGGGUAUCAAACAGGAUUAGAUACCCUGGUAGUCCACACGGUAAACGAUGAAUACUCGCUGUUUGCGAUAUACUGCAAGCGGCCAAGCGAAAGCGUUAAGUAUUCCACCUGGGGAGUACGCCGGCAACGGUGAAACUCAAAGGAAUUGACGGGGGCCCGCACAAGCGGAGGAACAUGUGGUUUAAUUCGAUGAUACGCGAGGAACCUUACCCGGGCUUAAAUUGCAGAUGAAUUACGGUGAAAGCCGUAAGCCGCAAGGCAUCUGUGAAGGUGCUGCAUGGUUGUCGUCAGCUCGUGCCGUGAGGUGUCGGCUUAAGUGUCAUAACGAGCGCAACCCUUGUUGUCAGUUACUAACAGGUUCCGCUGAGGACUCUGACAAGACUGCCAUCGUAAGAUGUGAGGAAGGUGGGGAUGACGUCAAAUCAGCACGGCCCUUACGUCCGGGGCUACACACGUGUUACAAUGGGGGGUACAGAGGGCCGCUACCACGCGAGUGGAUGCCAAUCCCCAAAACCUCUCUCAGUUCGGACUGGAGUCUGCAACCCGACUCCACGAAGCUGGAUUCGCUAGUAAUCGCGCAUCAGCCACGGCGCGGUGAAUACGUUCCCGGGCCUUGUACACACCGCCCGUCAAGCCAUGGGAGCCGGGGGUACCUGAAGUGCGUAACCGCGAGGAGCGCCCUAGGGUAAAACUGGU